CGCGUUCCUUCUAUCUGCGCGCACGUACACGCCACCGUAUCAUAGUCGGUGCUUUCGUAGAGAUGCUAUUAAUCUCUAUACAUUGCUAUCUUUCGGCUGUUUGUGUAUUUUCAUACAUGCGAGUUUCUCCUCUAUUGCUUCGCCGCGCCGUGAUUGUCUAUUUAGGUACACGAACAUUUAUCUCUCGUUACGUUUCUGUGUGUGAACAGGUUCCAUGCGAUUGUAUAUAUAUGAAUAUGCCGCGUGACGUGGUCACGCUUGUGCUGCACGAUGAACACACGUGUCUUUUGCGUACGCACGCGUCUCAGGUCCCUUGCGAUUGUGUCCGUCCAGAUGCAUUUCCGUUUACCUGUUGUUAAGGACACACACCGGUGUCUGGUUUCCAUCUGUGUAACAGUUCACGUCUACAAGUAGAAACAUUACGUUCCAUUCGUGAAGCGAU